rnacentral:rRNA from 1 species
GGCAACAGCUCAAAUUUGAAAUCUGGCGCAAGCCCGAGUUGUAAUUUGUAGAGGAUGCUUCUAGGCAGCGGCCGGUCUAAGUUCCUUGGAACAGGACGUCAUAGAGGGUGAGAAUCCCGUAUGUGACCGGCUGGCACCUUUCACGUAGCUCCUUCGACGAGUCGAGUUGUUUGGGAAUGCAGCUCUAAAUGGGAGGUAAAUUUCUUCUAAAGCUAAAUACCGGCCAGAGACCGAUAGCGCACAAGUAGAGUGAUCGAAAGAUGAAAAGCACUUUGGAAAGAGAGUUAAAAAGCACGUGAAAUUGUUGAAAGGGAAGGGCUUGCGACCAGACUUGUCGGCGGUGUUCCGCCGGUCUUCUGACCGGUUCACUCGCCGUCGGCAGGCCAGCAUCAUCUGGGGCCGCCGGAUAAAGGCUCAGGGAAUGUAGCUCCCCUCGGGGAGUGUUAUAGCCCUGUGCACAAUACGGCGCGUCCCGGGUGAGGUCCGCGCUUCGGCAAGGAUGCUGGCGUAAUGGGCGUAAGCCGCCCGUCUUGAAACACGGACCAAGGAGUCGAUUAUCUAUGCGAGUGUUCGGGCGUCAAACCCCUACGCGUAAUGAAAGUGAACGGAGGUGGGAACCCUUACGGGUGCACCAUCGACCGAUCCGGAUGUCUUCGGAUGGAUUUGAGUAAGAGCAUAGCUAAUCGGACCCGAAAGAUGGUGAACUAUGCCUGAAUAGGGUGAAGCCAGAGGAAACUCUGGUGGAGGCUCGCAGCGGUUCUGACGUGCAAAUCGAUCGUCAAAUUUGGGUAUAGGGGCGAAAGACUAAUCGAACCAUCUAGUAGCUGG